GUGAGGAAUUUUCCGCAAUGGGCGAAAGCCUGACGGAGCAAUGCCGCGUGAAGGAUGAAGGCCUAUGGGUUGUAAACUUCUUUUCUCAGAAAAGAAUUAUGACGGUAUCUGAGGAAUAAGCAUCGGCUAACUCUGUGCCAGCAGCCGCGGUAAGACAGAGGAUGCAAGCGUUAUCCGGAAUGAUUGGUCGUAAAGCGUCUGUAGGUUGUUUAAAAAGUAUUCUGUCAAAGAUUAGGGCUUAACCCUAGAUAGGCAGAAUAAACUUUUAAGCUAGAGUUUGGUAGAGGCAGAGGGAAUUCCCGGUGGAGCGGUGAAAUGCGUAGAUAUCGGGAGGAACACCAAAGGCGAAGGCACUCUGCUGGGCCAAUACUAACACUGAGAGACGAAAGCGAGGGGAGCAAAUGGGAUUAGAAACCCCUGUAGUCC
rnacentral:rRNA from 1 species